GUGACUGCGUACCUUUUGUAUAAUGGGUCAGCGACUUAUAUUCUGUAGCAAGGUUAACCGAAUAGGGGAGCCGGAGGGAAACCGAGUCUUAAUUGGGCGUUAAGUUGCAGGGUAUAGACCCGAAACCCGGUGAUCUAGCCAUGGGCAGGUUGAAGGUUGGGUAACACUAACUGGAGGACCGAACCGACUAAUGUUGAAAAAUUAGCGGAUGACCUGUGGCUGGGGGUGAAAGGCCAAUCAAACCGGGAGAUAGCUGGUUCUCCCCGAAAGCUAUUUAGGUAGCGCCUCGUGAAUUCAUCUCCGGGGGUAGAGCACUGUUUCGGCUAGGGGGCCAUCCCGGCUUACCAACCCGAUGCAAACUGCGAAUACCGGAGAAUGUUAUCACGGGAGACACACGGCGGGUGCUAACGUCCGUCGUGAAGAGGGAAACAACCCAGACCGCCAGCUAAGGUCCCAAAGUCAUGGUUAAGUGGGAAACGAUGUGGGAAGGCCCAGACAGCCAGGAUGUUGGCUUAGAAGCAGCCAUCAUUUAAAGAAAGCGUAAUAGCUCACUGGUCGAGUCGGCCUGCGCGGAAGAUGUAACGGGGCUAAACCAUGCACCGAAGCUGCGGCAGCGACGUUGAUGCGUUGUUGGGUAGGGGAGCGUUCUGUAAGCCUGCGAAGGUGGCCUGUGAGGGUUGCUG
rnacentral:rRNA from 1 species